ensembl:lncRNA
GCCAGCUGGUCAGCAGCAGUCAGGGGGAGGGGUCUCGCUCAGGGACGCCCCGCUGUAGCCCCUGAGCCCUAACGACUGGUGUCUCCGUCCGCCUCCAGGCCCACCUGUUCCCCGGAGCCCUGGUGUACUUCGGCUGUGAGCUGCAGACCGACUGCUACCUGCAGAGGGAGCACCUGAGCGCCUGUGUGUCCGCCACGCAGGCCAACGAGUCCAUCGCCAGCUGCAUGCCCCCCUCCCCAGAGGACGGACGCCCCCCCUCUGAGCCUAAGGGGGGCCGACAGGACGGACCGCCCCCCCCCACGGCCCACAGCCAGCCCCCUCAGCGGGCGGGACCGGACGCCGGCAAGGUCCCCAAGUGGCUGAAGCUCCCAGGAAAGAAGUGAGUCUCCUGCUGGUCAACUAGAGACUGCAGUCUUCUCCAUCGCUGAAAUGAACCUCACCAUUUUAGCUUUACCGCCGUUAUGGCAAAGCACUCGAUUGAUCAUGUAACACGCCGGCAUUCAACAGUGAAACAAGAACAUGUAAGGACCAAUAAAUACUUGCAUACGUUUUCGCCUUGGCUGAUGUCCGUUUUGUGAGGUGUGUGAAAGGGCCUUCAGCGCCCUCUGCUGGAUUAUUAGUUUAAGCCCAUUUAAAUGAAUGGGUUAGUACUUUGCUGGACGUAGACUUCCGGUAAUAUUAGCCAUAGCUGGUAUUAAUUAAUUAUAGUAAUCAAUAAAAGAAUAACAAAGGCAGGGUUUCUGAUGUCUGCUAUGUCUUAAUUGCCAUUGAAAAUAUUGAGGACGAAUUGUGCCAUGG